rnacentral:rRNA from 1 species
UACGUAGGGGGCAAGCGUUGUCCGGAUUUAUUGGGCGUAAAGAGCGUGUAGGCGGCCAGACAGGUCAGCUGUGAAAACUCGAGGCUCAACCUCGAGACGUCGGUUGAAACCGUCUGGCUAGAGUCCGGAAGAGGAGAGUGGAAUUCCCGGUGUAGCGGUGAAAUGCGCAGAUAUCGGAAGGAACACCUGUGGCGAAAGCGGCUCACUGGACCAUUACUGACGCUGAGGCACGAAAGCUAGGGGAGCAAACAGG